GCAGUCGAAAGGCAGGGGACUAGGUGUCUUUACACCCUGAUUCAUUAUCUUUUCUUUUUUGCUUAUCUCUUCUCUCAGCUGCCCCCGGGGUGCCUGGGUCGCCUGUCGACAUCGGCCGAGGCUUCCAGCCUGAGAGGAGCGUGCGACGGUGGCGUCAACGCUCAUCGCAUGCGAGGGAGACCCGAAAUAUCUCCUCUCUGAACCCUGCCUCCUUUUGGGUUGGCCCGCCGGCUCUCGAGAUGCCCAAACUCAGUCUCACCUUACGCCAGGACGUCUUCCGUAAAUCCGUCCGCACUUCUCGACUCGGACCCCGAGCGCCGGCGGGAAGGGAAGGGGAGCGGGGAGCACCCACAGCCUGGCAGAAACGGAGCCGCUGCUUGCGAGAGCUGCAGGGCGGCAGAUACUCCUGCAGCCGUUCUGGGGCUGACCCGAAAUGCUGGCGGCCAGAUCUGGACCUGAAGGACAGCAGCCACGCUGAAGUAGCAGGAUGUGGGAGAGAAUUCAGUUGAGACCGUGGGUCAUAUCUGUACACCCUCCACCAAGGUACUUCUGCCAGCUUCUCACUGGGCAUUGCACCGGGGGUGUUUAUAACAAAAGUUGGUCAUUUUAAAACACGGCCAAAUCGGUGAAUGAAGUUGAGACCAAAGGAGCCUGCAAGCUGGAAAUAACUCUUGUGUGAAGUCUCAAAGAGUUAAUGUACAACCAAGGAAUUCCUCUAGCCACAUCCCACGGAAAAAGCAACUUAAGUAAUUUCAAGCUCUUCAGGUUCAGUUUGACGUCAGGGCGCAGCACAGCAAGGAUAAGGAACGAUGGCUGGCCUCUAUUUUUUUUUUCCAUGGUCUUCACCCGCAUUUGAAUGGGCAGCCAGCAGCCCUCCCCAAGCGUGGCCUAGAUUUGUCAGGGCAAGACAUGGUCAUCACGUAAUUUAAAUGGAGCGUUAGAUCUGUUACGCUGCUUUAAAAAAAGUGCAUAAAGCAGCCCCUGAGUCCUGUCUAAGUGGCAGCUCAGACCUGCAAGAGGAUGGAGAAUGAUGGUUGCAAGUCCAGCCUUCCACCCGUACAUGCGUCCCACUGUGCAGGUGUGCGUGUGCAUGGGGGGAGGAAAGCCAACGAGUCUUUCGGUCUCCUAAUGAUCGUCUUCAGAUGUGGUUUCUGCCUGACCACCCAGCCUCAGUCUGAAGAACUUGCUGGGAAGGUCUCCAGGGGAUGGAUGAAGCAGGAAGAUGGGAUGCUCCCUCCUCUUGGGGAAGCUGUGGGUAUUCACAGCCCUGUUCAGCAUAUGGGGGAAGGCCACCCCUCGAGUCCCGGGGCAGCAUGAUGGCCUGGGCUACCUUUCUUGGCAACUGUACGCAUUUGUGUAAGAUGCUUUGCAAAUCCCUUAUCUGAACCAGGAAUGCAUGGACUGAAGGGGCCUUUCCUAAAAUUUUCCAGAACCCAAGCUGCAGUAUUACUCCACUUGCUUCUCACCCCAUAAAACAAUACCAGAAAAAGGCACCGACUGGCCCUUAAACACGAACACCAGCAGCAACGCAUGGAUACAAACUCGGGGCCUGAUGCAAAGCCCGUUUAAAGGAGGCUGUCUCAUCAACUUCAAAGGGGUUAGCAUCGGGCCCCUAUAGUGAAAUCCUGGCCCCACCGAAGUUAAUGGCAAAACUCCCAAUGACUUCAAAGGGGCAGAAUUUCACUCUUACUCCACAACUGUGAAUGGCUGUUUUAAAACGCUCGCCCAUUGUACUACCUACUUCUAUCAGCAGGGGAAAAAAACAAUUCCCUCUUUAUGGGGCUGUGCAGCAUGCCAAGUGAGAGAUCACUUUAGAGACUUAAAGAAGCAGAGGCUUUUUGCUAUUUAUGAGGAAAGAGUGCCCCGGGUAACCGAAUCUCGGAGAACCAGAAUCCCGCUAAUGUACGAGGAACCAUAAAGUGAAACGUUAGAAGUUGGCUAGCAGCAAAUGUGAGACAGACUCGUCUACUUUCAUUGUCUCCCACGAACGAAGUGCAAAAAAAGGUAAAUAAACCAGAAGGGAAAUGUCUUUUCCACUCUGUUUUUUAAAACAUUUAAUCUCCCUCCAAUCUAUGUACUGCCACGGCAUUUGGUGUAAUAUAAUGUCAUACUAGCAAAACAGGGAGCAUUUUUUUUUUUUUUUAAAGAAAUCCCUUUUAACUCAGUGUCAGCCUUGGCAAAAGAGGCUGAGGCCCUCUGACCUAACGAGGGCCCGAGAUGAGGGUUUCUUUUGAAAUUUCCAUCUAAAACCACCACCUGUGCGGUAUUAUCCUAUGGCCCAAAACAAGCUCCACGUCUUGCGAAAUGGUGUCACUUCAGCAGGGCUGAUUUUUUCCACUUGCAGAGCGCUUCAAGAAUUAUCUCUGCAUUUUUUUUUUUGUUGUCAAGGGACAGUAGCAUAAAAUAUUUAGUGAUUAUAAACAGAGCAGAAUUAAAAAAAAAAAAAGCAACUGCUUGAAACGAGAGCUCAGGAUCUGAUUUCUUCUAACCGGAUGCCUGCAAGAUGUCACUGAAUUCUCUCUCCAUGCAACCCGUGUGGAGCCAAUAUGAACUCCCAGCAAAGUGCUUAAAAACCCAUUAUUUAUAAUAACUGUUAAAUGAUGAGACAUUGUUUACCCAGAUCGCAAGAUAAAUUCUCACUUACAGAAUGCUUGUCUGACUGUCCUGAACAUCAUCUGGUUUUUAUUUAAAUGCAAAAUGUAAUUACUCUCAAUAACACAGCAGAAGAAUUCAAUAAGAUAUGGCUUUGCACUUAUGGUUUAAUAUUAACAUUUCCCCAUAAACGUUAAUGAAUAAAAGUCUACUGCUGUAUAUUUUACAUGCGAUUGAGAGGAAUGGAGGGAGGGAAAUAUUUUCAUAUCUGGAGCGCAACACUGAAUUCAAGGGGAGCUGGUGGUUUUUGGACCCUGGCUGAGACAGCACCUCCUGUUGGCAUCAGACUCAGAGCGUCACAUCCAGAAAAGACAAAUCCCACGCCUUCAAGAAGUGGCAGGAGAGGUAGCACAAGGCUGAAUGACUGCAUCUGUAAGCAAGGUCUCUGUUGAGAUAAAUCACUCUGGGCUUUUCCUUGUCUCUGUUGCACACCUAGUCCCAUCACCAUUGGACCAUCUGCUGCCUGGACUAUAGCAGCAGUUACAGUCUGCUCCCACUGGUCUGGGUACGCCUGCGAUGGAUGCAGUCUCCUUGUGUGGCCCCUUUGAGACGUACCUCCAACAGCAGCCGAACCGCAGUAGUCUGUCCACUUUUGGGGCACCCGUGCAAAGGGUGAGAGGGUUCUGGCAGCCGCUUUGCAUGGUUUAAGCAAGAUCCCUCCAUCCAGCAGAGGAGCCCGCUUGCCUGAGCUUCAUGUCCUCAGGCAAAAGACUGCUGAGGGCAUGACUCUUCACUGCAUUACUGAACAGCAGUGAUGUUGGUGCAGCGGGUUCAACGGCUGCAGAGUGACGUACACUGAAGGUAGCGCUGGGAUGAACUAGGCCUGUGGCACUUAAGUAGCAUGUUCUUUGCUGAUCUCAAAUUGCUUUGCUAAAUGGGGAGUUCUCCCCAUCCUACAGCUGGCAAAACAAAGGCGCACAUGCUUGCCUGACAGCAGAAAACAGGUCAGUGCCAGAGCUGGAAGCAGAAGGUCGGUCCACUGACACCCCUCCCACUGUGCCACCACACUGCCAGUGGCACGUGCCAGCUAGUAGAUGGCAUACGCACACAUUGUUGCUGCUUAAAAACUCAUGCUUAUGUCUGGGCCUGCAGGACCUGUGUGCUGGCUUUGCCUUCACUCCUCUAUCACACUGCCACCCAGAAUAGGAUUUGGCAUAUAAAACACCUAUAUAAACUUCCAUCUGAUUCAGACACUGGAUGAUAGGGGCCAUUUAUGCCUAUCUAGAAACAUAUAUUUCCCCUACCCCAUGCUGUGUCCUACAUGCAAACGCUUGCAAGAGGCUUUGAAAGAACUGUAGGGAGCAGAGACGGGGAAAGUCCUCUUACACAAAACAGUUGACUGCACAUGGCUAGUGCAGAAGUGGCCCCCAUCUCAUUUUCCAGAGCUUUGGCUCGUAAAGGGAAGGUUUAGUAAAAUGAGAGCUUUUCAACCUGGCCAGCAUGAUUCAAAAAAAGAACUUAGAGGCCUACUAAAACCCAACAGGUUUGGGGAAUAUAGAAAUAGGCUUGAUUAAACUGCAAAUGCCUUCUAAGGGCCUGAUGCAACUAAAAGGCCCCUUGCAGGAUGAGACACAAGAGAGCACCUCCGUGCUCCUGUUCCCACUGAAAUCAAUGUCAAGAGCCCCAAGGAUGCAAAAAAGCUUGUUGCUUUAAAAGGUCCCCAGUGCACAUCAAUGCAGAUGAGCAAAGCCAAGCUAAAAGGCAGGCUGCUUACCAUCUCAGAUGAAAUGCUGGUGUCUUGUGGUAAGGAAAAUAAUUUACUUAAUCACUUAAAAAAAACCCAACAACAACAAAUCUCUUAGGAGAAAGUCAAUUGUUUGCCUGCUAACUGCUCUGAGACAAAGCAACGGAAGGGAAAUGUCCAGUUCCAAUCAUUUCGUAACCUGAUUACAGCCCGCACAGAAGAUCUGAAACACUUGGAGAACAAUGAUUAAGAAAUUAAGCUUCAAAUUAAGUGCUCGCCCUAUAUGGGCCUGCUUCUUCCUAUGAUACCGGAAAGGGCACGGCUGGGCUUGCUUCGCGCACAAGCUGGUGAUGGGAGUGUACAGCCCAGUGGUGAAUCAACUCAGACAUUUCCCGACCCCCUCUGCCAUCCCACCAUUUCUUUCUCCAAGAGGAAUGACAAAUCUAGAAAUGGCACUGCACUUUGUUUCAUGACGGUAUCGAUUUUCCUGGACAGGAAAAGUGCAUUUGUCCUCCUGGCCCGCAGGCUGGCAAGAAAGGGUUAACCAAAUGUUUAUCACAAGGCUGGCUUCAGAGUUGAAAGUAAUGUGAUCAGUAAUGAAUUUUGUGUUACAUUAGGUUGUAUAAAUGGACAGACAAGCGCAGACAACAAGUGGCCAGGAGUCGGGGCUAAUCUAAUGAUGUAAAAAUAGAGACAGCACCAAUUAUACUUGGGGCCAGCUCAGAGCUCCUGCAGGGACUGCAAAUGAAUAGGUACAAAUCAAAUUACUGACUAAUAGACGCACUACAAGAGAGGGCAGUCAAUGCUAAAUGCAUUAGGGCCUUGUGACCUCCCUGCUCUGAACAGCAGAAUCCUAAAUUUGACUUAAAAAAAAAAAUCAAAGAAACUCUUGUUCAGUUAAGAAGAGAGA